GCUAAUCUGCGAUAAGCGCCGGUAAGGUGAUAUGAACCGUUAUAACCGGCGAUACCCGAAUGGGGAAACCCAGUGUGACUCGUCACACUAUCAUUAACUGAAUCCAUAGGUUAAUGAGGCGAACCGGGGGAACUGAAACAUCUAAGUACCCCGAGGAAAAGAAAUCAACCGAGAUUCCCCCAGUAGCGGCGAGCGAACGGGGAGGAGCCCAGAGCCUGAAUCAGCAUGUGUGUUAGUGGAAGCGUCUGGAAAGGCGCGCGAUACAGGGUGACAGCCCCGUACACAAAAGCGCAUGUGCUGUGAGCUCGAUGAGUAGGGCGGGACACGUGGUAUCCUGUCUGAAUAUGGGGGGACCAUCCUCCAAGGCUAAAUACUCCUGACUGACCGAUAGUGAACCAGUACCGUGAGGGAAAGGCGAAAAGAACCCCGGCGAGGGGAGUGAAAAAGAACCUGAAACCGUGUACGUACAAGCAGUGGGAGC
rnacentral:rRNA from 1 species